rnacentral:rRNA from 1 species
GACGAACGCUGGCGGCGUGCUUAACACAUGCAAGUCGAACGGAAAGGCCCUGCUUUUGUGGGGUGCUCGAGUGGCGAACGGGUGAGUAACACGUGAGUAACCUGCCCUUGAAUUUGGGAUAACUUCAGGAAAAUGGGGCUAAUACCGGAUAGGAGCUCCUGCUGCAUGGUGGGGGUUGGAAAGUUUCGGCGGUUGGGGAUGGACUCGCGGCUUAUCAGCUUGUUGGUGGGGUAGUGGCUUACCAAGGCUUUGACGGGUAGCCGGCCUGAGAGGGUGACCGGCCACAUUGGGACUGAGGUACGGCGCAGACUCCUACGGGAGGCAGCAGUGGGGAAUAUUGCACAAUGGGCGGAAGCCUGAUGCAGCAACGCCGCGUGCGGGAUGACGGCCUUCGGGUUGUAAACCGCUUUCGCCUGUGACGAAGCGUGAGUGACGGUAAUGGGUAAAGAAGCACCGGCUAACUACGUG